rnacentral:rRNA from 1 species
GGACCCGCGGCCGAUUAGCUUGUUGGUAGGGUAAUGGCCUACCAAGGCGACGAUCGGUAGCCGGUCUGAGAGGAUGAUCGGCCACACUGGGACUGCGACAUGGUCCAGACUCCUACGGGAGUUAGCAUCAGGAAUCUUGCGCAAUGGGCGAAAGCCUGACGCAGCGACGCCGCGUGGGUGAUGAAGGCCUGCGGGUCGUAAAGCCCUGUCGGGAGGGAAGCUGACUGUACCUCCGAGGAAGCCCCGGCUAAUUACGUGCCAGCAGCCGCGGUAAAACGUAAGGGGCCAGCGUUGUCCGGAAUUACUGGGCGUAAAGUGCACGUAGGUGGCUGGGUAAGCGAUAGGUGAAAGCCUCCGGCUCAACCGGGGAACUGCUUAUCGAACUGCUCAGCUAGAGCACGGGAGAGGGCACUGGAAUUCCUGGUGUAGCGGUGAAAUGCGUAUAU